GCCAACAUCCCUUUCCUAAAGAUUAAGUCUGGAGUGGUUCUCUGACUCAUCAUCCUCCCCAAGUCCCUGCUUCAGGAGAAGAAGGAGAAGAGAAAUUUGCUCUCAAUAGAAAGAGAGAUUACCAACAGACAGCAAGCAUGAAAACUGGGGCAGGAAAAGGACUCUCAGAUCCAUAGGACAAAAGAUACAGGAUAUUGGGAUAUUUCUACUUUGCUCCAAUUGCAAAAAGUCAACCUCUGACAACUGUGUGCCAGCCAUGAAUCAUCAGAAAUGGAAUACCUGAGCUGAAACAGUACCAAGAAUUGCUACAGUAGUUUGGGAGAAGACAAAAAAACAAGGAAA